rnacentral:rRNA from 1 species
UACCAGCUCUCCGAGUGGUAGGGAUGAUUAUUGGGCUUAAAGUGUCCGUAGCCGGAUUGGAAAGUUCCUGGUAAAAUCGGGUAGCUUAACUAUCCGCGUGCUAGGAAUACUACUAUUCUAGAGGGCGGGAAAGGUCUGAGGUACUACAGGGGUAGGGGUGAAAUCUUAUAAUCCUUGUGGGACCACCAGUGGCGAAGGCGUCAGACUGGAACGCGCCUGACGGUGAGGGACGAAAGCCAGGGGAGCGAACCGGAUUAGAUACCCGGGUAGUCCUGGCCGUAAACGAUGCAUACUAGGUGAUGGUAUGGCCAUGAGCCAUAUCAGUGCCGUAGGGAAACCGUUAAGUGUGCCGCCUGGGAAGUACGGUCGCAAGGCUAAAACUUAAAGGAAUUGGCGGGGGAGCACCACAAGGGGUGAAGCCUGCGGUUC